AACCUGCGGAGGGAUCAUUACAAGAAGCCGAAAGGCUACUUCAAACCAUCGCGAACUCGUCCAAGUUGCUUCGGCGGCGCGGCACCCCUUAACGGGGGCGCCGCAGCCCUGCCUCUCCGGAGGUUCGGGGCGCCCGCCGGAGGUACGAAACUCUGUAUUAUAGUGGCAUCUCUGAGUAUAAAACAAAUAAGUUAAAACUUUCAACAACGGAUCUCUUGGUUCUGGCAUCGAUGAAGAACGCAGCGAAAUGCGAUAAGUAAUGUGAAUUGCAGAAUUCAGUGAAUCAUCGAAUCUUUGAACGCACAUUGCGCCCGGUAGUACUCUACCGGGCAUGCCUGUUCGAGCGUCAUUUCAACCCUCAAGCCCUGCUUGGUGUUGGGGCCCUACGGCUGCCGUAGGCCCUGAAAGGAAGUGGCGGGCUCGCUACAACUCCGAGCGUAGUAAUUCAUUAUCUCGCUAGGGAGGUUGCGGCGUGCUCCUGCCGUUAAAGACCCAUCUUUAACCAAGGUUGACCUCGGAUCAGGUAGGAAUACCCGCUGAACUUAAGCAUAUC
rnacentral:rRNA from 1 species